UAGGGAAUCUUCCGCAAUGGACGCAAGUCUGACGGAGCAACGCCGCGUGAGUGAAGAAGGAUUUCGGUUCGUAAAACUCUGUUGUUAGAGAAGAACAGCGCAUAGAGUAACUGUUAUGCGUGUGACGGUAUCUAACCAGAAAGCCACGGCUAACUACGUGCCAGCAGCCGCGGUAAUACGUAGGUGGCAAGCGUUGUCCGGAUUUAUUGGGCGUAAAGCGAGCGCAGGCGGUCAAUUAAGUCUGAUGUGAAAGCCCCCGGCUCAACCGGGGAGGGUCAUUGGAAACUGGUUGACUUGAGUGCAGAAGAGGAGAGUGGAAUUCCAUGUGUAGCGGUGAAAUGCGUAGAUAUAUGGAGGAACACCAGUGGCGAAGGCGACUCUCUGGUCUGUAACUGACGCUGAGGCUCGAAAGCGUGGGUAGCAAACAG
rnacentral:rRNA from 1 species